GAUGAAGAACGCAGCGAAAUGCGAUAAGUAGUGUGAAUUGCAGAAUUCAGUGAAUCAUCGAAUCUUUGAACGCACAUUGCGCCCCUUGGUAUUCCAUGGGGCAUGCCUGUUCGAGCGUCAUUUGUACCUUCAAGCUUUGCUUGGUGUUGGGUGUUUGUCUCGCCUUUGCGUGUAGACUCGCCUUAAAAUAAUUGGCAGCCGGCGUAUUGAUUUCGGAGCGCAGUACAUCUCGCGCUUUGCACUCAUAACGACAGCGUACAAAAGUACAUUUUACACUCUUGACCUCGGAUCAGGUAGGGAUACCCGCUGAACUUAAGCAUAUCAAUAAGCGGAGGA
rnacentral:misc_RNA from 1 species